rnacentral:rRNA from 1 species
CCUACGGGAGGCAGCAGUGAGGAAUAUUGGUCAAUGGACGAGAGUCUGAACCAGCCAAGUAGCGUGAAGGAUGAAUGCCCUAUGGGUGGUAAACUUCUUUUAUAAAGGAAUAAAACGAGGCACGUGUGCCUUUUUGCAUGUACUUUAUGAAUAAGGAUCGGCUAACUCCGGGCCAGCAGCCGCGGUAAUACGGAGGAUCCGAUCGUUAUCCGGAUUUAUUGGGUUUAAAGGGAGCGUAGAUGGGUUGUUAAGUCAGUUGUGAAAGUUUGCGGCUCAACCGUAAAAUUGCAAUUGAUACUGGCAGUCUUGAGUACAGUUGAGGUAGGCGGAAUUCGUGGUGUAGCGGUGAAAUGCUUAGAUAUCACGAAGAACCCCGAUUGCGAAGGCAGCUUACUAAACUGUGACUGACAUUGAUGCUCGAAAGUGUGGGUAUCAAACAGGAUUAGAUACCCCAGUAGUC